GUUUACAAACUUAAACCAUCAAGUUAAAAUUGAAACGAUACAGGAGAAAUUAGCAUGACAUCUACACAAGAAUGACAAACAAAAAUCGAGAAUAAUAUAUACCUGUU